CAGACAGGGAAGUUAGUGGUCUGUGCGUUUGCACUCAGAAGGGGGGAAGACAUGAGACCUAUACACGAGCAGGCUCUUCUGUUGAUGCGGGACACACUUUACACAUCAGCCAGAAAAAAGGGGUAAAAGAGGAUCCUGUUGGGGAAGCCCUUCCUGCAGAUCCUGAUGCCCUCCAGCACACCGUUACAGCGCAGCUGGUGCAUCACCAGAGGGUUCUCCAUGGCCCCAGGAGUCUUGGUCUCAUUGGGGAUGAUGCAACGCACAAAGUGAGGACAGUGGAUCUCUGUGAGGAAGUCCUGAGUGCUGCUUGUCUCCUCAUAAUGCAAUUACCAGGACAGAAAGAAAAGAUGUGUCUCGACUCUCGAAGGACUGUUCUCCUGAAUACAGCGAUCUGUCAGUCCGACGUCUUCAUCAGUCCUGCAUCUUUUUCCUCUUCUAGCAGAGCCCGCCCUGCUUCAUACCGAGACAGACUGGCCUCCUCUUUAUAAGAUAGAAACCUCUGUUUGAAAUCUGCAUAGAGGAUCCUGUUUGGGAAGCCCUUCCUGCAGAUCCUGAUGCCCUCCAGCACACCAUUACAGCGCAGCUGGUGCAUCACCAGAGGGUUCUCCAUGGCCCCAGGAGUCUUGGUCUCAUUGGGGAUGAUGCAGCGCACAAAGUGAGGGACAAAGAUAACCCUGUGAAAUUCUUGUCUGGAUUCUUUCUGCUUGAGAAGGGCAGCGGUGCAGAGUCUGAUGUCAUGAUGGAUGAAGAGGAACAGGUGGAAGCAUCACACUAAAAAUACACCCUUUAACCUCCCUCAAGAAAUCUUCAUGUUUAUCAUGUUGUUACUUAAUUAAUUGAUGUCCAUGCAACUUUUUCCCUGUCUUUUAUGGCACAUUACUCAAAGAGACGCUUUUAGACUCAAAUGGAAAGAGGGUCGGAUUUGAACCUGGGCUGCCCACUUGGACUUUUGCAGGACUUUGGCCUCUGUACAUGGGAUGUGCGCACCAACCACUAGUUCAAGGAAAAACAAAAAUAAAUACUUUUGGAUAGUUUUGUCCGUCUUGCUUUCCACUAGCGAUGACACCGCAGAUGUUCCGAUAACGCCUGUAAAAUGGGAAUAUAGAGCAUUUUCCAUUUUCCAACGGAGCGUUCAAAUCUUGAUCUGAAUUUGCUCUGACGUUGUUGAUCUAAUUCUCAUUCUCAGUUGAGUACAUGUGGGAAUCGUCCUCUGAUCCAGACACCUGUGAGGUAAGGCCAAUUGUCGGCUGCUCAAAUCUGAGUUAAAGAACAAAUGGUGUCACCUUGAUGUGCUACAUGGUGUGUGAUUAAUCCAGAAGCAUUUCUAAACACUUAAAGUCCUGCAUGUGUGUACAUUAGACACAGCUCAAAGGUUGUUCUACGAGGGACAGAUAAUCAAAACCAAAGCGUAUGCUGAGCUUUGUUUGUGUGUUUGUUUUUCUAUGAGUCUAAAAUCUGAUGAAAUAUCUUAAUCCCUUAAAGGACAGGGCCAUAUGAGAUCGAGCUCCCACCCUCAGCCUCGUGUCAAGCUGCUUGCUCCCAUCACUUGGCUCCCUCUAACAGACAUCAUCGAAUCAUCCUUUGUGCUGCUGUGGAAGGACGAUGUACGGUGAGUCUGUCAGCAAGCUUUAGAAUAAACGUGAAUGUAUUUAAAUCACCCUCUCAAUAAUUCUUUAGGACAUUUAGCAUUAAAUAUGUGUUUAACUUUUAGCUUUAUAUUCCUUUCUGUCGUUUUUUUAUUUGUCAAUCGAGUGAUUGUUUAAAAACAGAGAAUGUGUUUUAAUUGAAGGAGUUUUUUUGAUUAAUGUGAAUAUUUUAUGGCAGCUAUUUUGCCCCUGUAACUUUGUUAAAUGUUGCUCAGUGCUCAUGAUGGAUUAACGUUGGGUCUUUGUAGAUGAUAUAACAAAGAGAAAGCACUUUUACCUGCUUUUUGUAAAGUGUCUGCACAUAACAUUUGUUAUGAAUUGGUGAUUUACAAAUAAAUUUUAACUGAUCUGCUAAAUGAUUGAAAGUCUGUGAGAGCUUUAGAAAAGUUUGUACACUUUAAUAUGAAGGUCACAAUAUUUCCCAUUGACUAGUUGCUCAUUAGCAUGCUAAUUAGUAGCAUUCUGGCUGCUUAUAAGUCUUUAUUAAGUGCGUAUUAUUACUUUAUUCUCUAUGACCACAGUCUGUAGCUAACA